UAAUACAGAGGUCUCAAGCGUUGUUCGGAAUCACUGGGCGUAAAGGGUGCGUAGGUGGCUAAGUAAGUCAGAUGUGAAAGCCCGGCGCUCAACGUCGUGAUUGCAUUUGAUACUGCUUGGCUAGAGUUUUGAAGGGGAGUCUAGAAUUCACGGUGUAGCAGUGAAAUGCGUGGAUAUCGUGAGGAAUACCAAAGGCGAAGGCAGGACUCUGGGCAAAUACUGACACUGAUGCACGAAGGCUGAGGUAGCAAACGGG
rnacentral:rRNA from 1 species